GACGAACGCUGGCGGCGGGCUUAACACAUGCAAGUCGAACGGAAAGGCCCUGCUUUUGUGGGGUGCUCGAGUGGCGAACGGGUGAGUAACACGGGAGUAACCUGCCCUGGACGUUGGGAUAACUUCAGGAAACUGGGGAUAAUACCGGAUAGGUGCUCCUGCUGCAUGGUGGGGGUUGGAAAGUUUCGGCGGUUGGGGAUGGACGCGGGGCUUAUCAGCUUGUGGGUGGGGGAGUGGCUUACCAAGGCUUUGACGGGUAGCCGGCCUGAGAGGGUGACCGGCCACCUUGGGCCUGCGAUACGGCCCAGACUCCUACGGGGGGCAGCAGUGGGGAAUAUUGCCCAAUGGUCGGAAGCCUGAUGCAGAAACGCCGCGUGCGGGAUGACGGCCUUCGGGUUGUAAACCGCUUUCGCCUGUGACGAAGCGUGAGUGACGGUAAUGGGUAAAGAAGCACCGGCUAACUACGUG
rnacentral:rRNA from 1 species